AGAGUUUGAUCAUGGCUCAGAUUGAACGCUGGCGGCGUGCCUAACACAUGCAAGUCGAGCGGUAACAGGUGUAGCAAUACAUGCUGACGAGCGGCGAACGGGUGAGUAAUGCUUUGGAAUCUUCCCAGUAGUGGGGAAUAACCAGUCGAAAGAUUGGCUAAUACCGCAUACGUCUGUAAAGGGAAAGCGGGGGCUCGUAAGACCUCGCGCUAUUGGAUGAGCCAAAGUCGGAUUAGCUAGUUGGUGGGGUAAUGGCCUACCAAGGCGACAAUCCGUAGCUGGUCUGAGAGGACGACCAGCCACACCGGAACUGAGACACGGUCCGGACUCCUACGGGAGGCAGCAGUGGGGAAUAUUGGACAAUGGGGGAAACCCUGAUCCAGCGACGCCGCGUGUGUGAAGAAGGCCUGCGGGUUGUAAAGCACUUUUAGUGGGGACAAAAAGCUACGGACUAACACUCUGUGGUCUUGAUUUAACCCAAAGAAAAAGCACCGGCUAACUCUGUGCCAGCAGCCGCGGUAAUACAGAGGGUGCGAGCGUUAAUCGGAAUUACUGGGCGUAAAGCGCGCGUAGACGGUUUUGUAAGUCAGAUGUGAAAUCCCUGGGCUCAACCUGGGAACUGCAUUUGAAACUGCAUGGCUAGAGUAUCGAAGAGGGAAGUGGAAUUUCCGGUGUAGCGGUGAAAUGCGUAGAUAUCGGAAGGAACACCAGUGGCGAAAGCGACUUCCUGGUCGAAUACUGACGUUCAUGUGCGAAAGCGUGGGGAGCAAACAGGAUUAGAUACCCUAGUAGUCC
rnacentral:rRNA from 1 species